rnacentral:rRNA from 1 species
GAUGAACGCUGACAGAAUGCUUAACACAUGCAAGUCGAUGGGGAAGUGGUGCUUGCACCAUGGUAACCAUGGCGGACGGGUGAGUAACGCGUAAGGAACUUGCCUGCGGGACUGGGAUAACAGCAGGAAACUGCUGAUAAUACCGGAUAAGGUCAUUAAGCUGCAUAGCUUAGUGAUCAAAGGAGACGCCUGCGGAGAGCCUUGCGUCCUAUUAGCUAGUUGGAGGGGUAACGGCCCACCAAGGCGAAGAUAGGUAGCCGGCCUGAGAGGGUGGACGGCCACAAGGGGACUGAGAUACGGCCCUUACUCCUACGGGAGGCAGCAGUGGGGAAUAUUGGACAAUGGGGGCAACCCUGAUCCAGCAAUUCUGUGUGCACGAAGACGGUUUUCGGAUUGUAAAGUGCUUUCAGCAGGGAAGAAGGAAGUGACGGUACCUGCAGAAGAAGCGACGGCUAAAUACGUG